rnacentral:rRNA from 1 species
UACGAAGGUUGCAAGCGUUACUCGGAAUUACUAGGCGUAAAGGGCAGGUAGGUGGUUUUGGUAAGUCUAUUGUGAAAGCUCCCCGGCUUAACUGGGAGAGGCCAAUGGAUACUACCAAGCUUGAGUAUAGGAGAGGUUACUGGAAUUCCCCGGUGUAGCGGUGAAAUGCGCAGAUAUCAGGAGGAACACCGGUGGCGAAGGCGGGUCUCUGGGCCGAUACUGACGCUGAGGAGCGAAAGCGUGGGGAGCGAACAGG